rnacentral:lncRNA from 1 species
AUAAAAUAUGGUGGUAGAGUGAACCUUCACCACCGCCAACAACUUGCAACCAACCGUUAUGGAUCCACGGUUUGUAACCGGAAACAAGCUGCAUCACCAUUCAACCGUCAUAUAUACAUCGUUUUAAUUGAGAGUUCUUCAUUACUGUCUUCAUCGCGUAACCACCGCAAAGGGUGCAUCCUUCUUCGCCCAUCCGCCAUUGAAGC